rnacentral:rRNA from 1 species
UACGGAGGGUGCAAGCGUUAUCCGGAUUCACUGGGUUUAAAGGGCGCGUAGGCGGGCAUUCAAGUCCGUGGUGAAAUCCGGCAGCUCAACUGUCGAACUGCCGCGGAUACUGGGUGUCUCGAGGGAGGUAGGGGCGUGCGGAACUAUUGGUGGAGCGGUGAAAUGCGUUGAUAUCAAUAGGAACUCCGGUGGCGAAGGCGGCACGCUGGACCUUUUCUGACGCUGAGGCGCGAAAGCCAGGGGAGCAAACAGG